rnacentral:rRNA from 1 species
CCUACGGGUGGCAGCAGUGGGGAAUAUUGGGCAAUGGGCGCAAUCCUGACCCAGCAACGCCGCGUGAAGGAAGAAGGCUUUCGGGUUGUAAACUUCUUUUUACAGGGAAGAGCAGAAGACGGUACCUGUCGAAUAAGCCACGGCUAACUACGUGCCAUCAGCCGCGGUAAUACGUAGGGGGCAAGCGUUGUGCGGAUUUAUUGGGUUUAAAGGGCGCGUAGCCGGGCUGACAAGUGAGAGGUGAAAUCCGGGGGCGCAACCCCCGACCUGCAUUUGAAACUGUGGGUCUAGAGUAUCGGAGAGGCAGGCGGAAUGCCUAGUGUAGCGGUGAAAUGCGUAGAUAUUAGGAGGAACACCAGUGGCGAAGGCGGCCUGCUGGACGACAACUGACGGUGAGGCGCGAAAGCGUGGGGAGCAAACAGGAUUAGAUACCCGUGUAGUC